UGGGGAAUCUUGGACAAUGGGGGCAACCCUGAUCCAGCCAUGCCGCGUGAGUGAUGAAGGCCUUAGGGUCGUAAAGCUCUUUCGCCUGUGAAGAUAAUGACGGUAGCAGGUAAAGAAACCCCGGCUAACUCCGUGCCAGCAGCCGCGGUAAUACGGAGGGGGUUAGCGUUGUUCGGAAUUACUGGGCGUAAAGCGCACGUAGGCGGACCAGAAAGUUGGGGGUGAAAUCCCGGGGGCUCAACCCCGGAACUGCCUCCAAAACUAUUGGUCUAGAGUUCGAGAGAGGUGAGUGGAAUUCCAAGUGUAGAGGUGAAAUUCGUAGAUAUUUGGAGGAACACCAGUGGCGAAGGCGGCUCACUGGCUCGAUACUGACGCUGAGGUGCGAAAAGUGUGGGGAGCAAAACAGGAUUAGAUACCCUGGGAUAAGUCCAACAACCGUAAAACGAUGAAAUGCCAGUCGUCGGGUAGCAUGCUAUUCGGUGACACACCUAACGGAUUAAGCAUUCCGCCUGGGGAGUACGGUCGCAAGAUU
rnacentral:rRNA from 1 species